rnacentral:lncRNA from 1 species
GAUUCAUCUAACAAUAAUGGUGAUAUCCAUAAUUUACAUUCCACUGUUAAUGACUCCUUUAUAUCAUCAACCAAUAAUGACAAUAUUUCUAAUUCUUGCACCAAAUGACUCCUUUCAUUCAUCUAGGAUAUUCCUAUAUCUCUCAGGUUGAUGAUAACUCUCUCAAUUCAUCCACCAAAAUGAUGAUAUCCCUAUUUCACACACC